AUGACAGGAACACAGCACAAGCCUGGGCUACACCCCUUUUCUGGCCGUGAGGUUCCCAUCUCGAAUGGUUCUGGCUUUAUAAUAAGUAGUGAUGACCUCAUAGUGACAAAUGGCCAUGUGGUCGCCAACAAGCGUGGUGUUCGUGUCAAACUGACCAAUGGUGAGACAUACAACGCCACAGUUCAGGAUGUGGACCAGGCUGCAGACAUCGCCACCAUCAAAAUCAAUGUUAAGAAUCCUUUACCAACGUUGCGUCUUGGCAAGUCAUCUGAUGUGCGUCAAGGUGAAUUUGUGGUUGCCAUGGGGAGCCCCUUUUCUCUUAAAAACACCAUCACAUCUGGAAUCGUCAGCUCUGCUCAAAGAGGCAGUAAAGAACUGGGUCUCUCCAACUCCAACAUGGACUACAUCCAGACGGACGCUACCAUAGAUUUUGGAAAUUCAGGAGGGCCUCUCAUAAACCUGGAUGGUGAGGUCAUCGGCAUUAAUACCAUGAAAGUGACAGCAGGGAUUUCCUUCGCUAUUCCCUCAGACAGAGUCCGUCUCUUCCUAGACCGAUCUGUAGAUAGAGUAAGAAUGACCUCACAGCUGCUUGCUUUUGUCUGUGACAGCAUUUUUUUUCACUGACAGAUGGUUAUUGGGUCUUUUUUUCAGACUCUUGGUUUGGAGAAUCGGGAUCGAAAAGGCGUUACAUUGGAGUGAUGAUGUUGACUUUGACCCCCAG